GACGAACGCUGGCGGCGUGCCUAACACAUGCAAGUCGAACGAAGUUUUUAUGGAAUGCGACUUCGGUCAAAUGAAGUUUAAACUUAGUGGCGGACGGGUGAGUAACGCGUGAGCAACCUGCCUUUCAGAGGGGGGAUAACGUUUGGAAACGAACGCUAAUACCGCAUGAUAUAACGUAAUCGCAUGAUUGUGUUAUCAAAGGAGCAAUCCGCUGAAAGAUGGGCUCGCAUCUGAUUAGAUAGUUGGUGAGGUAACGGCUCACCAAGUCAACGAUCAGUAGCCGGACUGAGAGGUUGAACGGCCACAUUGGAACUGAGAUACGGUCCAGACUCCUACGGGAGGCAGCAGUGGGGAAUAUUGGGCAAUGGGCGAAAGCCUGACCCAGCAACGCCGCGUGAGGGAAGAAGGGUCUUCGGAUUGUAAACCUUUGUCUUAUGGGACGAUAAUGACGGUACCAUAGGAGGAAGCCACGACUAACUACGUG
rnacentral:rRNA from 1 species